GACAGAGGAUGCAAGCGUUAUCCGGAAUGAUUGGGCGUAAAGCGUCCGCAGGCGGCAAUGUAAGUCUGCUGUCAAAGCGUCUGGCUCAACCAGAUAAAGGCAGUGGAAACUACAUAGCUAGAGUAAGGUAGGGGUAGAGGGAAUUCCUGGUGUAGCGGUGAAAUGCGUAGAGAUCAGGAAGAACACCGGUGGCGAAAGCGCUCUGCUGGACCUUAACUGACACUGAGGGACGAAAGCUAGGGGAGCGAAUGGG
rnacentral:rRNA from 1 species